GGGUCUGUGUCCCUGCCCAAAUCUCAUGUCAAAUUGUAACCCCCAGUGUUGGAAGCGGGGCCUGGUGGGAGGUGAUUAGAUCCUGGGGGCAGAUUUCCCCUUUGGUGUUCUUGUGGUAGUAAAUUAUUGUGAGAUCUGGUUGUUUAAAAGUGUAUGGCACCUCCCUGCCUCUCUCUUCCUUCUGCUCGGGCCAUGUAAGAAGUACCUGCUUCCCCUUUGCCUUCUGCCAUGAUUCUAAGUUUCCUGAGGCCUCUCCGGCCAUGCUUCCUGUACAGCCUGUGGAACUGAGUUUCCCUGAACAAGCUCUCUUUGCCUGCUGCCAUCCAUGUAAGACGUGACUUAUUCCUCCUUGCCUUCCGCCAUGAUUGUGAGGCCUCCCCAGCCAUUCAGAACUGUGAGGGUUCCAGACUCCAGAGUCUCCCUUUACCUAGUUCUUGGGAGUCUAGUGCAGCUGAAGACGAGGUACUGCGGAUGAAGAGGAAGACGAGGUACUGCGGAUGAAGAGAAACCCAGAUGAUCCAGGCACAUUUUAUAGACAAGGCCUCAACGACCCCAAAGGAACCUUUGAAAUCACCCUUUUCCUGGGUUCACGACGACUUGUAAAUGAUACCAUCCAUCCCUGCUUAUUCAUACUUAUUAAAUACCAGAAUAAAGAGAUUAGAGCUCACGAGGGGCUUCCUCCCCAUCACUCUGGGGCUGCUUGGCUGCAUUUAUGAUGAGAAGGCUCUGGGUGUUUAAUAAAGUAUCUGAUAUGUCUAAUAAAA